UACGUAGGGACCUAGCGUUGUCCGGAAUCAUUGGGCGUAAAGCGCGCGUAGGCGGCCCGGUAAGUCCGUUGUAAAAGUCGAAGGCUCAACCUUCGAAAGCCGAUGGAUACUGCCGGGCUAGAGUCCGGAAGAGGCGAGUAGAAUUCCUGGUGUAGCGGUGGAAUGCGCAGAUAUCAGGAGGAAUACCCAUAGCGAAGGCAGCUCGCUGGGACGGUACUGACGCUAAGGUGCGAAAGCGUGGGGAGCGAACAGG
rnacentral:misc_RNA from 1 species